GUGUCUGAGCAGGAGAGGGUAGGGAGGUGAGGUGGUGGGAGACGGAGAAGGCAGGCAGAAGGCCGCAGACCAGCAGGAAGACCAAGCCUCCUAGCUGAUAUCCAGCCUCCUAGAAAAUUCCAAGUGGGAGGACCUUUCAGAGCACUUCAUUUUGCAGAGAUAACACAGGCCCAGAAAGGGGGCAGGUCAUUUCCAUAAUUGUCAGGGGAACAGAGCCCUCUGGGCCUGGCCCUAGCUCCUCCCUUUGCUCUGAGUGAAGCGUGAGGCACUUCCCGAUGGCUCAGCAAGUCUAGAAUACGCCUGCAAUGCAGGAGAAGCCGGCUCCAUCCCUGGGUUGGAAAGAUCUCCUUGAGGAGGAAAUGGCAGCCCACUCCAGUAUUCUUGCCCGGAAAAUCCCAUGGACAGAGGAGUCCCUGGGGUCGCAAAGAAUCGGACCCACUGAGCACGUGGCUGCGGGGAGUUUAGAGGCUGGGGGAAGACAUGAGGAACCCUCACCUAAAUGGAGCCAGGCGACCACGGCACCAGGAAGAGAGAGCUGCUGCAGGUGAAUGUGGUCUCACUGGCUUAUGUAACCAUUCCCCUUGGCCCCCACGGAACAUACAUAAACAAUAACUUGGAAUAGCUAUCGAUCUGGUUGAGGCAGGUCAUCAAAACCUGGAACUGUCCCUGCCAAACAGGAACAUCCUGCCCUCUCAGCUGAGCAGACGCCUGGCUUAUGGGGGGAGGAAUGAGUGAUGUAAUCAGGCUCUUGAAGCCAGGAAGCAUGGAUUGUCCUUGCUGUGUUGGGUCAUCUUCUCAAUUAUCACUUAUUCAGCAUUUAAAAUGUGGCCGUAGUCUAUGGCCAUACCACCCUGAAUGCGUCUGAUCUCGUCUGAUCUCAGAAGCUAGGCAGGGUCAGGCCUGGUUAAUACUUGGAUGGGAGAAUGUGGUCAUAAAUAAGCAAAAGUCCAUGUUGAUAGGCUUACAAUGUCUCGGGGAAGAGUUCCAGAAACGUAAAAUUUGGUAAUAGAGGGGCAACCGCUUUAGCUUGGGUAGUUUGGCUUGGGUUUUGAUGAGCAGAUAGGAGUUCACCGAGCAGGGAAGGGAAAAAUCCCGAGUCUUACUUGUCCGCUGGUUUAAGAUGAAAAAACAGCCCUGUGCAGAAUACAUGAGUGCUGGGAGGUACACCGAGGUGGCAGGAAAGUGUGACUCAGGGAUGAGGCUGUUCUGGGUCUGAUGGUAGAUCUUCCGGAUAUAGCAAUUUUGGCUUCGGCCCCACUGGUCAGGCCUCCAGCCCUUCUCUGGGCUCUGCUGAAAGAAAACUUGGCCCAAAGCAAAUUUCUCUCUCUGAGUGGGCCAACCAGUGCCUUGAUAAUUAGCAGCACAGAGGUCAAGGGAGGACUUUUAUUGGUGCCCUGGAGAAUAAAAAUACACAGAUGGGAGGCCCUCCCCAUCUCCCUACCCUCUGCCCUCUUCCCCACCUGCCCUGGCCGCAGCCACCAGGCAACUUCAUCUCUCUUAACCUGUUCUUGCUUGGUCUUGAAAUAGCUUGGCUGAAUCCUUGACAUGCCCUUUUCUAGGCCUCUCACUUGACUAAUGAUGGCCAUUUCCAGUUAUUCCUUAGGUCCUGGCAUUGCACACACAGCCUGACUAGCCUGCAGCCCCAUAAGAACUCUACAGACACCUAUGGAGCACCUACUCUCAGCCAUUGUCUCUGCAAACACAGAGCAUUCAGGAGGAAGCAAUACAAAGGGCCUGUCUUCAGGAAGCUUGCAUUCUGGUGUGGCAGACCAACAACAAAUA
ensembl:lncRNA